rnacentral:rRNA from 1 species
UACGACGGAAAAGGACCCGGCCAAGGGGUCGGCCAGGGGACGGGGUCCGGCGUCCCAUCAGCUAGUUGGGUGAGGGUAAUGGCGUCACCAACGGCGAAGACGGGUAGCUGGUCUGAGAGGAUGAUCAGCCACACUGGGAACUGAGACACGGUCCAGACUCCUACGGGAGGCAGCAGUGGGGAAUAUUGCGCAAUGGGCGAAAGCCUGACGCAGCCACGCCGCGUGAGCGAUGAAGGUCUUCGGAUCGUAAAGCUCUGUGGGGGGAGAAGAAGAAAGUCGGUGAAGAGCCGGCCCUGACGGUAUCCCCUUAGCAAGCACCGGCUAACUCCGUGCCAGCAGCCGCGGUAAUACGGAGGGUGCAAACGUUGCUCGGAAUCAUUGGGCGUAAAGCGCGCGUAGGCGGCUGAACAAGUUGGAUGUGAAAGCCCUGGGCUCAACCUAGGAUGUGCAUUCAAAACUGUUCGGCUUGAGUCUCGGAGGGGGUCAGAGAAUUCUCGGUGUAGAGGUGAAAUUCGUAGAUAUCGGG